rnacentral:rRNA from 1 species
GACGAACCCUGGCGGCGUGCCUAAUACAUGCAAGUCGAGCGAGCGGAACUAACAGAUUUACUUCGGUAAUGACGUUAGGAAAGCGAGCGGCGGAUGGGUGAGUAACACGUGGGGAACCUGCCCCAUAGUCUGGGAUACCACUUGGAAACAGGUGCUAAUACCGGAUAAGAAAGCAGAUCGCAUGAUCAGCUUUUAAAAGGCGGCGUAAGCUGUCGCUAUGGGAUGGCCCCGCGGUGCAUUAGCUAGUUGGUAAGGUAAAGGCUUACCAAGGCGAUGAUGCAUAGCCGAGUUGAGAGACUGAUCGGCCACAUUGGGACUGAGACACGGCCCAAACUCCUACGGGAGGCAGCAGUAGGGAAUCUUCCACAAUGGACGCAAGUCUGAUGGAGCAACGCCGCGUGAGUGAAGAAGGUUUUCGGAUCGUAAAGCUCUGUUGUUGGUGAAGAAGGAUAGAGGUAGUAACUGGCCUUUAUUUGACGGUAAUCAACCAGAAAGUCACGGCUAACUACGUGCCGGCAGCCGCGGUAAUACGUAGGUGGCAAGCGUUGUCCGGAUUUAUUGGGCGUAAAGCGAGCGCAGGCGGAAGAAUAAGUCUGAUGUGAAAGCCCUCGGCUUAACCGAGGAACUGCAUCGGAAACUGUUUUUCUUGAGUGCAGAAGAGGAGAGUGGAACUCCAUGUGUAGCGGUGGAAUGCGUAGAUAUAUGGAAGAACACCAGUGGCGAAGGCGGCUCUCUGGUCUGCAACUGACGCUGAGGCUCGAAAGCAUGGGUAGCGAACAGGAUUAGAUACCCUGGUAGUCCAUGCCGUAAACGAUGAGUGCUAAGUGUUGGGAGGUUUCCGCCUCUCAGUGCUGCAGCUAACGCAUUAAGCACUCCGCCUGGGGAGUACGACCGCAAGGUUGAAACUCAAAGGAAUUGACGGGGGCCCGCACAAGCGGUGGAGCAUGUGGUUUAAUUCGAAGCAACGCGAAGAACCUUACCAGGUCUUGACAUCUAGUGCCAUUUGUAGAGAUACAAAGUUCCCUUCGGGGACGCUAAGACAGGUGGUGCAUGGCUGUCGUCAGCUCGUGUCGUGAGAUGUUGGGUUAAGUCCCGCAACGAGCGCAACCCUUGUUAUUAGUUGCCAGCAUUAAGUUGGGCACUCUAAUGAGACUGCCGGUGACAAACCGGAGGAAGGUGGGGAUGACGUCAAGUCAUCAUGCCCCUUAUGACCUGGGCUACACACGUGCUACAAUGGGCAGUACAACGAGAAGCGAGCCUGCGAAGGCAAGCGAAUCUCUGAAAGCUGUUCUCAGUUCGGACUGCAGUCUGCAACUCGACUGCACGAAGCUGGAAUCGCUAGUAAUCGCGGAUCAGCACGCCGCGGUGAAUACGUUCCCGGGCCU